UCUCCACUAUUUGAUAUUCCUUUAACAAUUUCCCUUCUUGUCAAUAGAUACAACAGAUAAGGGAUCCUAAAAAACAAAUCAAGAUGGUGGGUGUCCUUGAAGAAUAUCUGUCUGGCCAUGCCUUUCAUAUGUAGCAUCUCACAUCACCUGAUUAAACAGUUUCGUUCGAGUUUCAGCAUAAUGUCUGUGGCCAGUCAAUAUAUGCAGAGGGAACUGUUGAUGCUGCCAUUUUCCUUUCUGCAAAGGUUCAAUCCAAGGCGGAGAAACGAAUAUAUAAUUUGAUUGAUGUCUUGCGUGAGGGUAACAUGCGAUGAUUUUCCUUCUUG